UACGGGGGGAGCAAGCGUUGUUCGGAUUUACUGGGCGUAAAGGGCGCGUAGGCGGCCACCGCAAGUCGACUGUGAAAUCUCCGGGCUUAACCCGGAAAGGUCAGCCGAUACUGCGGGGCUGGAGUGCAGAAGGGGCAACUGGAAUUCUCGGUGUAGCGGUGAAAUGCGUAGAUAUCGAGAGGAACACCUGCGGCGAAGGCGGGUUGCUGGGCUGACACUGACGCUGAAGCGCGAAAGCUAGGGGAGCGAACGGG
rnacentral:rRNA from 1 species